GGGAAAUGCAGCUGCCUGGUGCUGUGCUCCUGCUUUGAAAUGGGCAAGAGCCUCACUCACUCACUGUGCUGUUAACCUGGGCAGUUGUUUAAUUCCUACCCAUUCCUUGGAUUUCUCCUCCAACUUCCCAAGAUGAUGUUGAGAAAGGUAGAUGAGACCAUGAUGCUCCUGCGCUCCCCUUGUUGUGGCUGGCACUCAAACAACAUCCACAGCACUGCAAUGGGGCCAUCCUGCUGCUGCUGAGGGACCCUGAGAUUCAAAGUAAGGUUUUACUUUGCUUACACUGUGUGCUGAAGUAUCCUGCAGCC
rnacentral:lncRNA from 1 species